rnacentral:rRNA from 1 species
UACAGAGGUCCCAAGCGUUGUUCGGAAUUACUGGGCGUAAAGGGUGCGUAGGCGGUUAAGUAAGUCUGGUGUAAAAGCUCGGAGCCUAACUCCGAAACAGCACUGGAUACUAUUUAGCUAGAGGAUUGGAGGGGGGACUGGAAUUCUCGGUGUAGCAGUGAAAUGCGUAGAUAUCGAGAGGAACACCAGCGGCGAAGGCGAGUCCCUAGACAAUUCCUGACGCUGAGGCACGAAAGCCAGGGGAGCAAACGGGAUUAGAUACCCCGGUAGUCCUGGCCCUAAACUGUGCAUGUUUGCUGUAAGAAGAUUCGACCCUUCUUGUGGCGAAGCUAACGCGUUAAACAUGCCGCCUGGGAAGUACGGCCGCAAGGCUA